GGAUGCGAUCAUACCAGCACUAACGCACCGGAUUUCAUCAGAACCCCGAAGUUAAGCAUGCUUGGGCGAGUGUAGUAUUAGGAUGGGUGACCCCCUGGGAAUUCCACGUGUUGCAUCCC